rnacentral:rRNA from 1 species
GACGAACGCUGGCGGCGUGCUUAACACAUGCAAGUCGAGCGGAAAGGCCCCUUUGGGGGUACUCGAGUGGCGAACGGGUGAGUAACACGUGAGUAACCUGCCCUUGACUUCGGGAUAACUUCAGGAAACUGGGGCUAAUACCGGAUAGGAAUCCUUGCUGCAUGGUGGGGGUUGGAAAGCUUCGGCGGUUUUGGAUGGACUCGCGGCUUAUCAGCUUGUUGGUGGGGUAGUGGCUUACCAAGGCUUUGACGGGUAGCCGGCCUGAGAGGGCGACCGGCCACAUUGGGACUGAGAUACGGCCCAGACGCCUACGGGAGGCAGCAGUGGGGAAUAUUGCACAAUGGGCGGAAGCCUGAUGCAGCAACGCCGCGUGCGGGAUGACGGCCUUCGGGUUGUAAACCGCUUUCAGCAGGGGCGAAGCUUGUGGUGACGGUACCUGCAGAAGAAGCACCGGCUAACUACGUG